UACGGAGGGUGCAAGCGUUAUCCGGAUUCACUGGGUUUAAAGGGUGCGUAGGUGGGUUUGUAAGUCAGUGGUGAAAUCUCCGUGCUUAACAUGGAAACUGCCAUUGAUACUAUAGAUCUUGAAUUUUCUGGAGGAUAGCGGAAUAUGUCAUGUAGCGGUGAAAUGCUUAGAUAUGACAUAGAACACCAAUUGCGAAGGCAGCUCACUACACAAUCAUUGACGCUGAGGCACGAAAGCGUGGGGAUCAAACAGG
rnacentral:rRNA from 1 species